GAUGAACGCUGGCGGCGUGCCUAAUACAUGCAAGUCGAGCGAACAGAUGAGGAGCUUGCUCCUCUGACGUUAGCGGCGGACGGGUGAGUAACACGUGGAUAACCUACCUAUAAGACUGGGAUAACUUCGGGAAACCGGAGCUAAUACCGGAUAAUAUAUUGAACCGCAUGGUUCAAUAGUGAAAGACGGUUUUGCUGUCACUUAUAGAUGGAUCCGCGCCGCAUUAGCUAGUUGGUAAGGUAACGGCUUACCAAGGCGACGAUGCGUAGCCGACCUGAGAGGGUGAUCGGCCACACUGGAACUGAGACACGGUCCAGACUCCUACGGGAGCCAGCCGUAGGGAAUCUUCCGCAAUGGGCGAAAGCCUGACGGAGCAACGCCGCGUGAGUGAUGAAGGUCUUCGGAUCGUAAAACUCUGUUAUUAGGGAAGAACAAAUGUGUAAGUAACUAUGCACGUCUUGACGGUACCUAAUCAGAAAGCCACGGCUAACUACGUG
rnacentral:rRNA from 1 species